rnacentral:rRNA from 1 species
UACGGGGGGUGCGAGCGUUGUCCGGAAUCACUGGGCGUAAAGGGCGCGUAGGUGGUUUGAUAAGGGUGUGGUGAAAGUCCGGGGCUCAACUCCGGAUCUGCCGUGCCGACUGUCAAACUCGAGGGCUGUAGAGGCAGACGGAAUUCCGGGUGUAGCGGUGGAAUGCGUAGAGAUCCGGAAGAACACCGGUGGCGAAGGCGGUUAGCUGGGCAGUUGCUGACACUGAGGCGCGACAGCGUGGGGAGCAAACAGG